UAAAAUUCUGGCUAGAAUUUGAUUAUGACUUUUUCUAGUUAUUAGUCUUGACCAAAGCUCGUGCCAGCAGUCGCGGUAAAACGAGGAAGACGAGUGUUAUUCAUCUUAAAUAGGUUUAAAGGGUACCUAGACGGUAUUUCUAGCCAAAAUAGAUUUACUAGAGUUUUAUGUGAGAAAGAACUUAAGAGGAGAGAUACAAUUUUAUGAUACUGUAGGGACUAACAAAAGCGAAAGCAACCUUCUAUGUAUAAACUGACGUUGAGGGACGAAGGCCUGGGGAGCGAUAAGGAUUAGAGACCCUAGUAGUCCAGGCAGAAAAUUAUGAAUGUCAUAAACUAGAAAAAUUUUAGUUUAUAAAUGAAAGUGCAAGCAUUCCACCUUAAGAGUAAUGCGGCAAGGCAGGAACUGAAAUCAUUAGNCCGUUUCUGAAAUAAGUAGUGAAGUAUGUUAUUUAAUUCGAUAACCCACGAAAAACCUUACCACAAUCUGAAUACUAGUGUUGCAUGGCUGUCUUCAGUUAAUGUCGUGAGAUACAAUUAACGUAAACCCUUUCUUUAUUUUUCGAAAAGGGAUUAAGACAAGUCCUCAUGACC
rnacentral:rRNA from 1 species